AUUGAACGCUGGCGGCAUGCUUUACACAUGCAAGUCGAACGGUAACAGGCCGCAAGGUGCUGACGAGUGGCGAACGGGUGAGUAAUGCAUCGGAACGUGCCCAGUCGUGGGGGAUAACGCAGCGAAAGCUGCGCUAAUACCGCAUACGAUCUAUGGAUGAAAGCGGGGGACCGUAAGGCCUCGCGCGAUUGGAGCGGCCGAUGUCAGAUUAGGUAGUUGGUGGGGUAAAGGCUCACCAAGCCAACGAUCUGUAGCUGGUCUGAGAGGACAACCGGCAACACUGGGACUGAGACACGGCCCAGACUCCUACGGGAGGCAGCAGUGGGGAAUUUUUGGACAAUGGGCGCAAGCCUGAUCCAGCAAUGCCGCGUGCAGGAAGAAGGCCUUCGGGUUGUAAACUGCUUUUGUACGGAACGAAACGGUCCUGGUUAAUACCCGGGGCUAAUGACGGUACCGUAAGAAUAAGCACCGGCUAACUACGUGCCAGCCGCCGCCGUAAAAC
rnacentral:rRNA from 1 species